CAGCAGCCGCGGUAAUACGUAGGUGGCAAGCGUUGUCCGGAUUUAUUGGGUUUAAAGGGUGCGUAGGCGGCCCGGUAAGUCAGUGGUGAAAGCCUCCAGCUCAACUGGAGAACUGCCAUUGAUACUGUCGGGCUUGAGUACAGACGAGGUUGGCGGAAUUGAUAGUGUAGCGGUGAAAUGCAUAGAUACUAUCAAGAACUCCGAUUGCGUAGGCAGCUAACUAGGCUGUAACUGACGCUGAGGCACGAAAGCGUGGGGAGCGAACAGGAUUAGAUACCCUGGUAGUCCACGCUGUAAACGAUGAUUACUCGAUGUCGGCGAUAAACAGUCGGCGUCUUAGCGAAAGCGUUAAGUAAUCCACCUGGGGAGUACGCCCGCAAGGGUGAAACUCAAAGGAAU
rnacentral:rRNA from 1 species